UCCUGCUAAAGGAAUCUUUUGUUAGUCAUAAAACCACUGAUGAAUAAGGGGUGGGCAAGUUCUGGUGUCAGCCGCCGCGGUAAAACCAGCACCUCGAGUGGUCAGGAGGUUUAUUGGGCCUAAAGCAUCCGUAGCCGGCUGCUCAAGUUUCCGGUUAAAUCCACACGCUUAACGUAUGGGCUGCCGGAAAUACUGUUCAGCUAGGGAGUGGGAGAGGUAGACGGUACUCGAUAGGAAGGGGUAAAAUCCUUUGAUCUAUUGAUGACCACCUGUGGCGAAGGCGGUCUACCAGAACACGUUCGACGGUGAGGGAUGAAAGCUGGGGGAGCAAACCGGAUUAGAUACCCGCGUAGUCC
rnacentral:rRNA from 1 species